GCCGAGGUGGCGGAAUGGGUAGACGCGCUAGCUUCAGGUGCUAGUGAGCUUUGGCUCGUGGAGGUUCAAGUCCUCUUCUCGGCACCA
rnacentral:tRNA from 1 species